rnacentral:rRNA from 1 species
AGAGUUUGAUCCUGGCUCAGAACGAACGCUGGCGGCGUGGAUAAGACAUGCAAGUCGAACGGGACUAUUUCUAGUAGCAAUACCGGGAAUAGUUCAGUGGCGAACGGGUGCGUAACACGUGGGCAAUCUGCCGAAAAGUGGGGGAUAGCUCGCCGAAAGGCGAAUUAAUACCGCAUGUGAUGAGAGGCGACAUCGUUUCGAAAUCAAAGCCGGGGCAACCUGGCGCUUUUUGAGGAGCCCGCGGCCUAUCAGCUAGUUGGUGAGGUAACGGCUCACCAAGGCGAUGACGGGUAGCUGGUCUGAGAGGACGACCAGUCACACUGGAACUGAGACACGGUCCAGACACCUACGGGUGGCAGCAGUCGAGAAUUUUUCUCAAUGGGGGAAACCCUGAAGGAGCGACGCCGCGUGGAGGAUGAAGGCUUUCGGGUUGUAAACUCCUGUCAUUUGGGAACAAUGCGUUAAAAUUAACUGUUUUAACGUUGAUAGUACCAGAAGAGGAAGGGACGGCUAACUCUGUGCCAGCAGCCGCGGUAAUACAGAGGUCUCAAGCGUUGUUCGGAUUCAUUGGGCGUAAAGGGUGCGUAGGUGGCGCCGUAAGUCGGAUGUGAAAUUUCGGAGCUUAACUCCGAAACUGCAUUCGAUACUGCGGUGCUUGAGGACUGGAGAGGAGACUGGAAUUCAUGGUGUAGCAGUGAAAUGCGUAGAGAUCAUGAGGAAGACCAGUGGCGAAGGCGGGUCUCUGGACAGUUCCUGACACUGAGGCACGAAGGCCAGGGGAGCAAACGGGAUUAGAUACCCCAGUAGUCC